rnacentral:rRNA from 1 species
AUGGCUGUCGUCAGCUCGUGUCGUGAGAUGUUGGGUUAAGUCCCGCAACGAGCGCAACCCUUGUCUUAUGUUGCCAGCACGUAAUGGUGGGGACUCGUAAGAGACUGCCGGGGUCAACUCGGAGGAAGGUGGGGACGACGUCAAGUCAUCAUGCCCCUUAUGUCCAGGGCUUCACACAUGCUACAAUGGCCAGUACAGAGGGCUGCGAGACCGUGAGGUGGAGCGAAUCCCUUAAAGCUGGUCUCAGUUCGGAUCGGGGUCUGCAACUCGACCCCGUGAAGUCGGAGUCGCUAGUAAUCGCAGAUCAGCAACGCUGCGGUGAAUACGUUCCCGGGCCUU